rnacentral:rRNA from 1 species
AUUGAACGCUGGCGGCAUGCCUUACACAUGCAAGUCGAACGGUAACGCGGGGCAACCUGGCGACGAGUGGCGAACGGGUGAGUAAUGUAUCGGAACGUGCCCAGUUGUGGGGGAUAACUGCUCGAAAGAGCAGCUAAUACCGCAUACGACCUGAGGGUGAAAGCGGGGGAUCGCAAGACCUCGCGCAAUUGGAGCGGCCGAUAUCAGAUUAGGUAGUUGGUGAGGUAAAGGCUCACCAAGCCGACGAUCUGUAGCUGGUCUGAGAGGACGACCAGCCACACUGGGACUGAGACACGGCCCAGACUCCUACGGGAGGCAGCAGUGGGGAAUUUUGGACAAUGGACGCAAGUCUGAUCCAGCCAUGCCGCGUGCGGGAAGAAGGCCUUCGGGUUGUAAACCGCUUUUGUCAGGGAAGAAACGCUCUGGGUUAAUACCCCGGGGUAAUGACGGUACCUGAAGAAUAAGCACCGGCUAACUACGUGCCAGCCGCCGCAGUAACAC